rnacentral:lncRNA from 1 species
GGAGAGCCUGCCUAGACUUCACCAAUGCCUGGCUUCAGAGAAGGGCUUCCAGAAUUGACAUGUGCGAAGCGUCCCUCUCCUUGGGAGACACGGUGAUCCGAGAGCUGCUUGGACCUGGAGCUUUGUCUCAGGCCGCUGAGGGGCCGUUCCUUGGGCAUUGAGGCUUGAAUCCUGCUAUCAGAACUUUGGUGUUCUCUGGACACGUAACGUCCCCAGCGGGGCCCUAGCCUUUGGACUUGAACUGGAAUUUACACAACUGGCUUUGUUGAGUCUCCAAAUUACAGACAGCAGACCAUGGGACUUCUCCGCCUCCAUAAUCAUAGCUGGACUGCAGUGCUGUACCUUGCCAGCAGAGAAGGCUGUCUAGCACACAUCAGCCUGAAACCAGGAGAGAGGCAGCUAUGGGAUUUGGCGACUCCAGCUCAGCAGUUGAC